AGCUCGGUAGCGCAACGGUAGCGCGUCUCUCCCACUUUGGAUCGUGUCCCAGUUGUCUUAUAUGGGUGGAGAGAAGUUCUCGGUUCGACUCCGAGUCGCACUA